rnacentral:lncRNA from 1 species
AAAAUUACACUCAUCGUCUGGUUAUAUAGAAGUUUGACAAACACUUGUGAUCAUUGAGACGCUUAAUAUUCCCUUAACAACACAACGUAAUUAAAACGUUUAACUGAUAUUACAGAGUUAUCUCCCUGUAGUGUUAGGUACCACCUCAACAUAGAUAACCAUACAUUCUUGACUUUCAAUAUUGUAGCUAUAAGCGUUUUGGGGGGAAAGUAUACCAAGACAAGCGGUUCAGACAUAUUGAGUUAAACAGUGAUAUUUUCAGGUUGUUGAUAAUUCAAUAGCAAAAACAAUAAAGUGUAGAAGUGAUGAUUUAUCUAAUUAUUCAAUAUUUUAAUAAAAUUGGAUAUGGAAAACAGCCAUACUUAAAACAUUCAGAAGGUCGUGCAAAAUACUUUUAGUAUAAGACACAUUUUGUCAUAGAUAUGUUUUAGUUAAACUUAUCUCAUUAGUUAAAAUCAGUAUUACGGUCUAAAAAUAGGCUAUAUUGAAGCUUUUUGCAGGCCUCGUUUUCAUUAAAUGCACAAAUUUAUCAGAUAUGUGUAAACAAAAAGCAUAAAAUUGUAAUUGUCUGAUGAACUAAUGUCUUUUUUCAAUAA